CGGGCGGCGCCGGAGACCGCCACGUGUCUGUGCGCAGCGCGACGAGCGCAGAGACGGUGAGCGGCCUGGUUCGCACU
rnacentral:pre_miRNA from 1 species